UACGAAGGGGGCUAGCGUUGUUCGGAAUUAUUGGGCGUAAAGAGCUCGUAGGCGGUUUGUCGCGUCUGCUGUGAAAACUCGGGGCUUAACUCCGGGCCUGCAGUGGGUACGGGCAGACUAGAGUGCGGUAGGGGAGACUGGAAUUCCUGGUGUAGCGGUGAAUGCGCAGAUAUCAGGAGGAACACCGGUGGCGAAGGCGGGUCUCUGGGCCGUAACUGACGCUGAGGAGCGAAAGCGUGGGGAGCGAACAGG
rnacentral:rRNA from 1 species